GCGCAGUCUCCUCCCCUCUCUCACGCGACGCUGAGCCACUGCCAUCCCGCACCCGACGUCAUCUCCGCCGCCUCCUCUACCCUAGCAUCGACGCCUUCUCCUCUUCCCUGAGUCGUUCGCCCUCUCCCUUCUCUCUGCCCUAGCGCCGGCAGCCGAUCCCUCUCCGACGCCACCACUCGACGCCACCAGUGGAUCACGUAGGCUCUGUUCAAUCCAACGACGACGCUGACCCCCUCUGCCCUAAUCUCCACUGUCGCCUCUUCUUCCCUCUCUGUGCUGCCGCCCGAUUGCGCCCGUGGCCACCAUUGAGCCGUGCCCUAAUGCCAUCACCAUUUUUCCCUGCCAGUUCACCACCACAGCAACAUUUGGGUUUCUAAGCAGUAGACCCUGAUCACGUAAAGGUUGUUGUGGGCUCUAGUGUCGCCGAAUAGCUCUCCGGUCAGGAGCCACCUGCAAACCUUAUUGGAUUGUGGACAUUGAUUUGAGACGGGCGUCUCGACGUAGGAUUUAUGGUCGUGAUCGACUGAUAAAGACGGAAAAGGGAACAAUCGAGACAGGAGACGUUGACUAGUGAGCCAGCUCGGAACCAUGACAGUACAAUCCAAAGACCUUCCAGUUUAAAUUCUGCAUUUAGUUAUGUUAUUUUUGAACCAUUUAUGUAAUUUUAUUUGAACUAAGAAACAGCUAUGAAAGUAUGAGAAAGUGG